GUCCCGGUAGCUCAGGUGGCAGAGCACCUGUACGUGAUGAACGAAAGCUCCUAGCAAUAACUGCCAGGAGGUCGCAGGAUCGAGCCUGCCCGGGAUU